AGAGUGCGUAACAGCUCACUAGUCGAGGAGUCGGGCGUGGAUAAUAAUCGGGUAUUAAGUUGUCUACCGAAGCAGUGGGAUCAUUAAUAUGAUCGGUAGGGGAGCAUUCCAGUCAGCGUCGAAGGCGUACCGUGAGGUAUUCUGGAGCGUCUGGAAAAGCAAAUGUAGGUAUAAGUAACGAUAAAGGGGGCGGGAAACCCCCUCGCCGAAAGACUAAGGUUUCCUGAUCAACGCUAAUCGGAUCAGGGUCAGUCGGGUCCUAAGGCUCAGCCGAACGGCGAUGCCGAUGGCAGAAACGGUUAAUAUUCCGUUACUACCUUCAGGAGUGACGUGGAGACGCAGUAGUGACAGUGCCGCCAUCUGACGGAAUAGAUGGUUGAAGGGUGUAGGAGUCGAUCAUGGCAGGCAAAUCCACCAUGAGAUCCGAACCUGAUAGUAUGCCGCGUCCUUCGGGACAAGGCAAUAGUGCGCGUAAGCAUGCUGCCGAGAAAAUCCGCUAAACUUAAUCCUGCAGGUACCCGUACCGCAAACGGACACACGUAGUCGGGAUGAAUAUUCUAAGGCGCUUGAGUGAUUCACGGUUAAGGAACUAGGCAAACUGACCCUGUAACUUCGGGAUAAAGGGUCCCUACCCUUUUAUGGGAGGGCGCAGAGAAUCGGUCCAGGCAACUGUUUAACAAAAACACAGGGCUGUGCCAAAUCGAAAGAUCCAGUAUACAGCCUGACACCUGCCCGGUGCUGGAAGGUUAAGAGGAGAUGUCAUCGAUAAGAGAAGCGUUGAAUUGAAGCCCCAGUAAACGGCGGCCGUAACUAUAACGGUCCUAAGGUAGCGAAAUUCCUUGUCGGGUAAGUUCCGACCUGCACGAAUGGUGUAAUGAUCUGGACGCUGUCUCAACCGUGAGCUCAGUGAAAUUGUAGUAUCGGUGAAGAUGCCGAUUACCCGCGAUGGGACGAAAAGACCCCGUGAACCUUUACUAUAGCUUAUCAUUGAAUCUGGGCACGUGAUGUGUAGGAUAGGUCGGAGGCUUUGAAGCAGGUACGCCAGUAUUUGUGGAGCCGCUGUUGAAAUACGACCCUUUAUUUGUUUGGAUUCUAACCCGUGGAUACGGGGACAUUGAUUGGUGGGUAGUUUGACUGGGGUGGUCGCCUCCAAAAGCGUAACGGAGGCUUCUAAAGGUGCCCUCCGGCCGAUUGGUAACCGGCCUUAGAGUGUAAUGGCAUAAGGGCGCUUGACUGGGAGACUGACAAGUCGAUCAGGUAGGAAACUAGAGCAUAGUGAUCCGGUGUUUCCGUAUGGAA
rnacentral:rRNA from 1 species